AGGGUGUAAACGCUGCAGACUUGGUGUUGGGGGCCCUUUGGGGGCAUUCAGUGCCGGAGAGAAGUUGUUAAGUCUGCUACUUGGGGAGUACGUCCGCAAGGAUGAAACUUAAAGGAAUUGGCGGGGGAGCACCGCAACGGGAGGAGCGUGCGGUUUAAUUGGAUUCAACACCGUAAACUCACCAGGGAAGACUGUUACAUGAAGGCCGAGAUGAAGACUCUGCUAGAUUUUCAGAGAGGAGGUGCACGGCGUCAGUGACU
rnacentral:rRNA from 1 species